AACGAACGCUGGCGGCAGGCUUAACACAUGCAAGUCGAACGCUCACCUUCGGGUGGGAGUGGCAGACGGGUGAGUAACGCGUGGAAACGUGCCCUUCAGUUCGGAAUAACCCAGGGAAACUUGGGCUAAUACCGGAUACGUCCGCAAGGAGAAAGAUUUAUCGCUGAAGGAUCGGCCCGCGUCGGAUUAGCUAGUUGGUGGGGUAAUGGCCUACCAAGGCGACGAUCAGUAGCUGGUCNGAGAGGAUGAUCAGCCACAUUGGGACUGAGACACGGCCCAAACUCCUACGGGAGGCAGCAGUGGGGAAUAUUGGACAAUGGGCGCAAGCCUGAUCCAGCCAUGCCGCGUGAGUGAUGAAGG
rnacentral:rRNA from 1 species